GACAGAGGUGCCAAGCGUUAGGCGGUAUCACUGGGCUUAAAGCGUGUGUAGGCGGAUCGUUAAGUACCUUGUGAAAUCCCACGGCUCAACCGUGGAACUGCUGGGUAUACUGGCGAUCUUGAGCCACCUAGGGGCGAGCGGAACAAACGGUGGAGCGGUGAAAUGCGUAGAUAUCGUUUGGAACGCCAACGGUGAAAACAGCUCGCUGGGGGUGUGCUGACGCUGAGACACGAAAGCCAGGGGAGCGAACGGG
rnacentral:rRNA from 1 species